GAUGGUGUAGCUCAGCGGUUAGAGCAGUUGGCUGUUAACUAACUGGUCGGUGGUUCGAAUCCAUCCACCAUCGCCA
rnacentral:tRNA from 1 species